UUCGAUUCUGGCUCAGGACGAACGCUGGCGGCGUGCCUAACACAUGCAAGUCGAGCGAGGAGAUUCCUUCGGGAUGAUCCUAGCGGCGGACGGGUGAGUAACACGUGGGCAACCUGCCUCAUAGAGAGGAAUAGCCUUCCGAAAGGGAGAUUAAUACCUCAUAACAUUGCAGUUUCGCAUGGAACAGCAAUUAAAGGAGUAAUCCGCUAUGAGAUGGGCCCGCGGCGCAUUAGCUAGUUGGUGAGGUAACGGCUCACCAAGGCGACGAUGCGUAGCCGACCUGAGAGGGUGAUCGGCCACAUUGGGACUGAGACACGGCCCAGACUCCUACGGGAGGCAGCAGUGGGGAAUAUUGCACAAUGGGGGAAACCCUGAUGCAAGCAACGCCGCGUGAGUGAUGACGGCCUUCGGGUUGUAAAGCUCUGUCUUCAGGGACGAUAAUGACGGUACCUGAGGAGGAAGCCACGGCUAACUACGUGCCAGCAGCCGC
rnacentral:rRNA from 1 species